UUCCGGGUUCCGCGGCGCGCCCCGGAAACGGGCGCCUGGCGUGCUGGGAAUUGUGGUUCGCUAGCGCCAGGUGCUCGUGCUCGGAAGGAUCGCCUGCCCAGUAUGGGGUCCUAGCUAGGUGAAGAAUUUGGACAUUUCAAGAUCUGAAGUGAAAUUAAACUGGAAUGGCCUGUCACGAAA